UACGUAGGGUCCGAGCGUUGUCCGGAAUUACUGGGCGUAAAGAGCUCGUAGGUGGUUUGUCGCGUUGUUCGUGAAAACUCACAACUCAAUUGUGGGCGUGCGGGCGAUACGGGCAGACUUGAGUACUGCAGGGGAGACUGGAAUUCCUGGUGUAGCGGUGGAAUGCGCAGAUAUCAGGAGGAACACCGGUGGCGAAGGCGG
rnacentral:rRNA from 1 species